UACGGAAUGUGCAAACGUUAUUCGGAAUCACUGGGCUUAAAGAGUCCGUAGGCGGCAUGUUAGGUGAGGUGUGAAAUCCCCCGGCUCAACCGAGGAAUUGCGCUUCAAACCGGCGUGCUCGAGGAAGAUAGAGGUGGGCGGAACUGAUGGUGGAGCGGUGAAAUGCGUUGAUAUCAUCAAGAACACCGGAGGCGAAAGCGGCCCACUGGGUCUUUUCUGACGCUGAGGGACGAAAGCUAGGGGAGCGAACGGG
rnacentral:rRNA from 1 species